rnacentral:piRNA from 1 species
UGUGAGUGCACCUGCCAAAGCGAAGCAUU